AUCUUUUCUAGGAGAUCUCUCCUUGGUGAAGCUUUCCCCUGCUAACCUAGACUCUUGAUACAGAUUCAGAACAGCUGUUUCUUCCACCCAGAAGAUACAGUGAAGAGAUUUCAGCUUGGAACACAGAAAUUUAAUUACUAAGUUUAGGAUGGAUCUGUCCUUUUAAAAAAACUUCCUCUUUCAUGCCAUAUCAAUAAUAAGUUUACCUUAAAAGUUAGCAAUGUUUGUUCACUGUUAUGUUCUGCUAUGAAGUUGAAAUAACUGAUACAAGUAUAGAAACGAAGUCUCAUUUAAGCAUAAAAGAACACUUACUAAAUGCCCACUAUUGCAACUCAGUCAGUAGUUUUCAACUAUAGCUCAUGCUGAAGGCUUAGCUAUUCAUUCUGACAGCUCUGGGACCCUCUUGUUCUUAGAGUCAGCAGAAAUAAACUGCUUAUGCUUACAUAUGUUCAGAACAACAUUAAGAUUGAGCAAACUUAUUUCCUGGAUUGUAUGCUCCCCUUUUAAAGACCAGGAAUUAAAUUCUUGCCUCAAAGAAGUCAAUAAGACUUUCUGCUGUAAUUUAAAACAAACCUAGUUUUCUCACUAAAAUUAAUGCACAUCACAUUAUAUCAGGUAGUUUAAAUAUCUGAUUAAAAAUAACAGCCUUAAAUAAAAACCAGGUAAUCAGAAAACUAUUUCCUUUGACUCUGCAGAUCUAGUCUAGCAAGGAAUACGUAAGUUCUGUUUCACUUCUAGAAAAUAAUUGUACAGGCACUGUCAUACUCUAGGCAGAUGCCACAUUUUUUUUAAGCUGAAUUCAAUGAAUAAAGGUCUGCUGUACUAGAAUAUGACUUUUUAACACGAAAUUUAAUAAUUACUAAAAUUUGUGAAACAUUGAGCUGAGUAAUUUCAUCUCAUUCUAGGUCUUACUGUUGACUCAGUUUGAAUUUUUUUUUACAGAAGUACUUGAUCAGUUAACAGAUUAAUUUAUCAACAUAUUUUCAAUUAAUUGGAAAUACUUAUGCUCAUACCAUGUGGCAAAAAUCUUCUCUAUUUCCUAGAAACAGUUCUACUUAUGGGGCAAGAAGAGCCUAGAAAAAUGCCCUUCACAAUCCAUAACCGAAGUCCUGCACCUAAGCAGUGUAAAUGGUUCUCCAAUCACAUUUGAUGCUGGAGGUAUGCCAAGUGCUCAUAGGCAUGUAUUACUUAUGCCCCUCAGCCUCUGUUACACACAAUAGAUAGUCUGUGCAACAAUUACUGGGGGGGAAAAAGCUUCAAUGUUUUCGUAACAGGAAUACAUAAAGACAGAGACUAGUAAUAACUGAUAGAGGGCUAAUAGUUUAAGUUCAUAUUUUGCAUGUUACAGUAAGGGUUGUUUUUGCAUAGUUUUCACCAACAAGCUAGGCCAACAACUGUUGUUAAUACUGUUUCAGACUUUCUUUUUGUAACUUAAAGUAGAAUUUUCUGUGCAAUGAUUCAUGUUCCUAGACACAAGACUUAGGAAAAUAUUUACAACUAAAACGAAGGAAAAGAAAGACUAUUGGAAUUUCUUACAGGACAAAUGCACAAAUGGUUCAUAGAACAGAAGUAGAAGAGCAAGAAGAGUCUCUACAUUAGAGGUAUAAUAGAUCGGUUUUGAAGUGGAUUGCCCCCAAAUUUUCCAAUCCUCCACAGAGAUUCUCAUGAAAAGUAUACAGAUUGCACACAAACAAUCUUCUAUAGAACUGGAAUUCCUGAGUACUAUAGCAUCUAACAGAUAAAGAGGAACACUUAUUUCGUACUGGAUCUUUAAUAGCUGAGCUAUAAGAAAUUGGCUGCAUUCUCUUUACCUGAAUAUUGCUUUUUCUCCUGUUAGUAGAAGAAAACAGGUUCUGUAGAUAAUGACUAGUAUUAUAACUAUUACAAAUAAGCUUCCAGUAUAUAAUAUAUACUCUUCAGCUCCAUCACUUCAAUUUAAGAUUGAUUAUAUGUCAGGCCAGCCUACACCUUGUCAAAACUUUUUGAAAACUGACCUUCAAUUUUCUUCCAGCAUUAACAAUAUGCUAACUUUAGUCUAAGC
ensembl:lncRNA